UUAGAUCGGCGAGUGCCUUGGGAUGUGGUGGAGGCCUGACUUUGAAACCUUUGAUCCACACUUGUCCAGUAAUGUAAAAGGCGCCAAGGAGUGCACUAAACUCUUCCUGGUCAAGCUGCCGGAGAAUCGAGAAUUCUUCGUGCCAAAGAACCUCAAGUUGAUAGCAGUUCCUUUAUGCCAGAUUCAAAAAAGCCAUGAGGUAUCCUUAUCAACACACUUUAUGGAAGUCCAAUUUAUCACGUUUGCAAAUCUUAGUUUUUCCUUGAAAGAUUGAAAGAAAAAGGAAAGACGGUUCAAUUUUGUUGGGGAAAUUCUUGAAAUAAAUCUCUAUUGGGUUCAUAGGGCAUUAGAGGUCGGAUUAGGAUUUUUUAAAAUGGAAUAGUAAACUUUUUCAACUUAAUCCAUCUUUAUUAGAUAUUGAUCCUAACCCAACUAACUUGGUUUAGGUGGUUCUAGUUUAGAUCAUUUAUUCUUUUUUUUUUUUUUUUUUUU